rnacentral:rRNA from 1 species
AGUGAACGCUGGCGGUAGGCCUAACACAUGCAAGUCGAACGGCAGCACAGGAGAGCUUGCUCUCUGGGUGGCGAGUGGCGGACGGGUGAGGAAUACAUCGGAAUCUACUCUGUCGUGGGGGAUAACGUAGGGAAACUUACGCUAAUACCGCAUACGACCUACGGGUGAAAGCAGGGGACCUUCGGGCCUUGCGCGAUUGAAUGAGCCGAUGUCGGAUUAGCUAGUUGGCGGGGUAAAGGCCCACCAAGGCGACGAUCCGUAGCGGGUCUGAGAAGAUGAGCAGCCACACUGGAACUGAGACACGGUCCAGACUCCUACGGGAGGCAGCAGUGGGGAAUAUUGGACAAUGGGCGCAAGCCUGAUCCAGCCAUACCGCGUGGGUGAAGAAGGCCUUCGGGUUGUAAAGCCCUUUUGUUGGGAAAGAAAUCCAGCUGGCUAAUACCCGGUUGGGAUGACGGUACCCAAAGAAUAAGCACCGGCUAACUUCGUGCCAGCCGCCGCCGUAA